rnacentral:lncRNA from 1 species
UAUGACAGUAAUACGUUGUGGUAGGAUGUUCUUUGUUAGGCUAGUAGUCGUGCAUUGUUUUGUCUGGUUUGGUGGAGAUGGCGUUUGGUGCUUCUACUAGUUCUGUUUCAAACGCUCACUAUACGUUGUUCUACACUGUACAAAGAACUAUGCAUGCAUAGGAGGUCUUAUUUGACAGUAUUAUGUUGUGGUGGGAUGUUCUUUGUUGGGCUUGUAGAUGUGCUUUGCUUUGUUUGGUUUGGUGAAGUUGGUGUUUGGUGCUUCUGCUAGUUCUGUUUCG